rnacentral:rRNA from 1 species
UGGGGGAUAUUGCACAAUGGGGGGAACCCUGAUGCAGCGACGCCGCGUGAGGGAAGACGGUUUUCGGAUUGUAAACCUCUGUCUUUAGGGACGAAACAAAUGACGGUACCUAAAGAGGAAGCCACGGCUAACUACGUGCC